rnacentral:rRNA from 1 species
CUACGGAGGAUGCAAGCGUUAUCCGGAUUUAUUGGGUUUAAAGGGUGCGUAGGCGGAUGAUUAAGCGUGAGGUGAAAUGCCACUGCUCAACAGUGGAACUGCCUCGCGAACUGGUUGUCUUGAAUGCUCCUGCCGUGGGAGGAAUGUGUGGUGUAGCGGUGAAAUGCAUAGAGAUCACACAGAACACCGAUUGCGAAGGCAUCUCACGAAGGGGUGAUUGACGCUGAGGCACGAAAGCGUGGGGAUCAAACAGGAUUAGAUACCCUGGUAGUCCACGCAGUAAACGAUGAUAACUAACCGCUGGGUCGUAGUGAUUCAGUGGCCAAGCGAAAGCGAUAAGUUAUCCACCUGGGGAGUACGACCGCAAGGUUGAAACUCAAAGGAAUUGACGGGG